rnacentral:lncRNA from 1 species
UUCUUAGAAAAUUGGACAUAAUGCUACCUGAGAACCUGGCUAUAUCACUCCUGGGCACACACUCAAAAGAUACUCCAACACGUAACAAGGACACAUGUUCCACUAUGUUCAUAACAGCCUUAUUUAUUUUAGGCAGAAGCUGGAAAGAACUCAGAUGUCCUUCAACAGAGGAACAGAUAAAGAAAGUAUGGUACACUUAUACAGUGGAAUACUACUCAGCUAUUACAAAUAAUGACUACAUGAAAUUCUGAGGCAAAUGGAUGGAACUAGAAAGUAUCCUCUUGAGUGAGGUAACCCAGUCAGAAAACAAAUCACAUGGUAUGCACUCACUGAUAAGUGGAUAUUAGCCUAAAAGCCUGGAAUUCCCAAAAAAUAAUUACAGACUAUAUGAAGCUCAAGAAAAAGAAAGACCAUAAUGUGAAUGCUUAAGUCCUUCUUAAAAUGGUGAACAAAAUACCUAAAGGAGGAAAUACAGGGACAAAGAGUGGAGCAGGAACUAAAAGAAAGGUCAUCCUGUGACUGUCCUACCUGGAGAUCCAUCCCAUAUGCAGCCACCAAAUCCAGCCACUAUUGCUGAUGCCAACAAGUGCUUGCUGACAGGAAUCUGAUAUUGAUUUCUCCUGAAAGGCUCUGCCAGAGUCUUAUA